UCUCAUUUGCUUCAAUUUGCCGAAAGAUCAAAUACUCUCCUGAGUCCUUCUUUUCUCUCCACGAACUUGCCAAGAAUUCUGGGAUCAACUCUAUUUCCAUAAAACAGGAAGAGAGAAAAGGAAAAUUAUAAGGCCCCUUGGGGUCACUGGAUUUUGCACCAUCAGAUACAUUUUGAUAUUAGAAGAUAAAGAGAUUGGCCCGAAACUGGGAUGGAGGAGAAGCAGCCAAAGAGUUGUUCUGUUUCUUAAGUUACUUUGAAGGUUGUACACUUUUAAUAUUCAUUUUGAGGAAUAAAUAAUUUAGACAUCCAAUUAAA
rnacentral:lncRNA from 1 species